rnacentral:rRNA from 1 species
GUGAGGAAUAUUGCGCAAUGGAGGCAACUCUGACGCAGCCAUGCCGCGUGCAGGAAGAAGGCGCUACGCGUUGUAAACUGCUUUUAACCGGGAAGAAACCCCGGGACGUGUCCUGGGUUGACGGUACCGGAGGAAUAAGCACCGGCUAACUUCGUGCCAGCAGCCGCGGUAAUACGAAGGGUGCAAGCGUUAUCCGGAUUCAUUGGGUUUAAAGGGUGCGUAGGCGGAGCGUUAAGUCAGUGGUGAAAUCCUGCAGCUUAACUGUAGACUUGCCAUUGAUACUGGCGCUCUUGAGUGCGCUUGAAGUGGGCGGAAUGUGCCGUGUAGCGGUGAAAUGCUUAGAUAUGGCACAGAACACCAAUUGCGAAGGCAGCUCACUAAGGCGAUACUGACGCUGAGGCACGAAAGCGUGGGGAUCGAACAGGAUUAGAUACCCUAGUAGUCC